AGGGAGCCUGAGAAACGGCUACCACAUCUAAGGAAGGCAGCAGGCGCGCAAAUUACCCAAUCCUAAUACAGGGAGGUAGUGACAAGAAAUAACAAUACAGAACCUUACGGUUUUGUAAUUGGAAUGAGUUAAGUAUAAACCCCUUAACAAGUAUCAAUUGGAGGGCAAGUCUGGUGCCAGCAGCCGCGGUAAUUCCAGCUCCAAUAGCGUAUAUUAAAGUUGUUGCAGUUAAAAAGCUCGUAGUUAAUCUUCUGUUAAUUUUUAUAUACAAUAUCACGAUAUUUAUAUAAUAUUAACAUAAUUCAUAUUACUUUUUAGUAUAUGAAACUUUACUUUGAGAAAAUUAGAGUGCUUAAAGCAGGCUAUUGCCUU
rnacentral:rRNA from 1 species